rnacentral:piRNA from 1 species
GGCAAAGCUACCGCGGGAUGAUAUUAC